GAUUAAUGAUGGAAAUAGUCAAACCUGAGCAUCAAGGGCCUUCCAGUCUGCUUUGAUGUAUGAUCUCCAUAAUUCUGAGA
rnacentral:snoRNA from 1 species